UACCAGCACCCCGAGUGGUCGGGACGAUUAUUGGGCCUAAAGCAUCCGUAGCCGGUUUUACAAGUCCUCCGUUAAAUCCAGCUGCUUAACAGAUGGGCUGCGGAGGAUACUAUAAGACUAGGAGGCAGGAGAGGCAAGCGGUACUCAGUGGGUAGGGGUAAAAUCCGUUGAUCCAUUGAAGACCACCAGUGGCGAAGGCGAGUCCCUGGACAAUACCUGACACUGAGGCACGAAAGCUAGGGGAGCAAACAGG
rnacentral:rRNA from 1 species